CUCACAGUACUGACAAACCGAAGCAACGCUUCAGGCCUUGGUUUAAAUCUGUUCUCCGACUUCGUUCCUCCGCCUCUCUACGCUCCUCCUACAAGGUCAUGACCAAUGACGACACACGCACGCCUCUGAGUAUAGAUUAUCGAAAUGUUACAUUGUCCAAGUGUUUUGAGAUAAUCUGCCCCCCAAAAUUUAUUACACCUGACAAAUCAAGCCUUAUAUGUUUAUGGUGAACAUCACCAGGUGCAAUAGAGACGGUUCCAAGUGAUUCUGUUUCAGCCACAGUGAGUGUUACAUUCUGGACAUUCACUCUUAAGCCAGUGCAACUCAGUUUAUAUACAGGUGACAUCAUCUGACUCAAGUGUCCAUGGAGAAACUUGCUCCUUUGCUUGAAAGAACUGAAGCUAGAGCUCGUUCUUUCAGAAUGAAGCUAAUGUGAGUAAAAUGAGCAAAUCAUGUAUGUGGUCUGAUGAGUGGUCAGGAAAAAAAAGAACCUCAUAUGUCUGAUAUGCUUACAAAUUUAUCUUGUUAAUACCACUGGUAAGUUUACAACAAAUGCAGGGGUGGAAUUUGUUGGAAAUAAACACAGAUUAAAUCUCAGUUGCAACAUUUUUUUUUAUCACUUACUUGCAUAUUAUAUGGUUUUAUUUUGAAGGACCACUUGACAAGUCGUGUGUUCUCUUCCGGGUGUCUCGCAGCUGCGGCCAAGCAAACAUGGGAUCCGGUGCAACUCCCGUGACGGAGUCUGAAGAAGACUUUAAAAUGUUUAAGUCUAAAGGAACUCCGGCGUCUCUACCGAAACACUCGUACUGGUUUGACUUUUGGGUGUUUGUGGUCUUUGACAUCGCGUUAUUCCUCGUCAUGUAUUUCAUAAUCCCAUAAAAAGUUUGCCCCCUGGACUCUGGAGCCUGAAGACAUGGAGUGCUGGUCUUGCCCUGCUGUCAGGAAUGCUAACCAAGCUUUGACUGAAUCUAACACCAUGUUAUCCGAUAUCACAUCUCACGUCUCACAGACGGAACAUGGAACUGCAAGUUUUAUAAACGUGGCAUCCUGCGUUGGUAUCAGAGAUUUGAACCGCAGGACUCUUUCCCACUGUGACCUGUUGCCAGUUGCUGUUGACUGUCUUUCUUCAUGGAUGGAUUCAUGUUAUUGUCAUGGGGAAGAGAUAUAAUUCUAAUAUUUGUAUCAUUAAAAAAUGGCAGUGGCGCUAUUAGGACUUGUAAAAUGUACUUGCUCUAAUAUCACUAUAAUGCUAUUUUAAGUAUUAUGAUUAUAAAUGUUACCCAGUUGAGCAGACUUGCCCAAUGUAUUUGAUUGAGUAGUUACUGCUAACAGAGUUAACUGUAACAUUUAGCAACUGUAUCACAUUCCAUUUUAAGUGUUUUAGUUUUAUAUCUUAAAAUUGUUUGAUCAAGUAGUAGGUCUUGGAAAGGAAAGAGAAUUCCCAUAUUUAAAAAUGUUUGUCUUGUUAUAUAAUAAGUUAUGUGAUGAUCCAGUGUGGGGUCAUAGAAACAUGAUUUUUCUUGCACACCAUGAAGAACAAUGUGUUGUUGUGGAGAAUGAUUCCAGCACACUAAAAUGCUGACAGUUUGCACAUGGAAAAUGCUGCAAAUAAAGUGUUUUGCCUACCUGCUAAA